ACUCCACGGGAGGCAGCAGUGGGGAAUAUUGGACAAUGGGGGCGAACCCUGAUCCAGCCAUGCCGCGUGAGUGAUGAAGGCCUUAGGGUCGUAAAGCUCUUUCGCCUGUGAAGAUAAUGACGGUAGCAGGUAAAGAAACCCCGGCUAACUCCGUGCCAGCAGCCGCGGUAAUACGGAGGGGGUUAGCGUUGUUCGGAAUUACUGGGCGUAAAGCGCACGUAGGCGGAUCGGAAAGUUGGGGUGAAAUCCCGGGGCUCAACCCCGGAACUGCCUCCAAAACUAUCGGUCUAGAGUUCGAGAGAGGUGAGUGGAAUUCCGAGUGUAGAGGUGAAAUUCGUAGAUAUUCGGAGGAACACCAGUGGCGAAGGCGGCUCACUGGCUCGAUACUGACGCUGAGGUGCGAAAGUGUGGGAGCAAACAGGAUUAGAUACCCUGGUAGCGACUGA
rnacentral:rRNA from 1 species